GACGUAGGGCGCGAGCGUUGUCCGGAUUUAUUGGGCGUAAAGAGCUCGUAGGCGGCUUGUCGCGUCGUCCGUGAAAACCUGCAGCUCAACUGCAGGCUUGCGGUCGAUACGGGCAGGCUAGAGUUCGGUAGGGGAGACUGGAAUUCCUGGUGUAGCGGUGAAAUGCGUAGAUAUCUGGAGGAACACCGGUGGCGAAGGCGGCAUCCUGGACCGACACUGACGCUGAGGAGCGAAAGCCAGGGGAGCAAACGGG
rnacentral:rRNA from 1 species